ACGUUGAAGAAGAAAAAACAAAUUGUUAUGGAGUUAUUUCUAAAACAAAAACAUGAAAAAGGUAAAGCUGAAUAUAUGAUGUAUUUAAAAAAAAAAUCAAACAUUUUUUUUAUUGAUUCUAAUGUGAAGUUAGUUUAACAUAAUUAUGCUCACAAAAUAAAUAAUAAAAAACGUAUAAAAAGAAUACUAAACAAACAAACCGAAAACCAUGGUGAAUUUUAUAUAGGUAAAACCAAUAAAUACUGAAAAAAGUCUACGUUAACCAGCAAAGAAAUUAUGGGAAAACAAACGUCAUAUUCUUGACUUGAUACAGCCAUUUUUUUUCAAGAAAAAUGUUAGGGUGAGAUAUUCGGAAACUUCGCGGUAUUUUCGUCAGUAAGAUGAGUCGAUAUUCGUACUCGGGUAUUAAUGUGAUUCACAUACAUUUUUGUAGGUUGGAAAGGCCAAUACAUUUUUGUUCUAUCUUAUCUGUAAUUUGUCGUAUUCAAAUAACCGGUAGUACAUGUAGGUGCAGUUUCAAUUCUGGAGACAGAUAACAAAACUUGGACUCUCCGAUGAAAAACGGAAAUAAAAGUUGCUGGUGUG
rnacentral:lncRNA from 1 species